GGGCCCAUAGUUUAACGGACAGAAUGACAGGCUUCGGACCUGUAGGCGGAGGUUCAAUUCCUCCUGGGCUCG
rnacentral:tRNA from 1 species